rnacentral:lncRNA from 1 species
AUGUGGAAUGGAUUAAUUAUGGGCUCGGGUGACAACUUAGAUUCUGUAGGAGUCCCAGACAUAUGGUAUGUAAGUAUGCAUCUACCUGCUAACUUUUUCACAGGCCAUUGCCUAAUGCUCACAAAAAAGAUGAGAAAUGGGCUAUAAAAACUCAUAAAUAGAGCAGGAUGCCUUCUGAAACAGGCAUAUUAUUCACUCUGUAUUCCAGGGGUGGAGUGGAAGAACAAAGAAUACAGAAAAUCCUUCCUGCAUUCCAGGCACUAUAAUGAGGGUAAGGAAGUAAACAUCUACUUUCUUGGGGAAAGAAAACAGUAUCUCAGAUUGUGUUUACAGUAACUGAUCUAUUUUUUAUUAUAGUUUAAUGCUAUGGGUUUUUUUGAGAUCUUAUGAUCUGAUACAAUGCUAGUAUCUUAACCUCAGUUAACAUGCCUAUAGAAAAGCCUAGUUGCUAGGAAACGAAUAACUAAGCCAAAGUAGGAUUGUACUCAGUCAUUGUGAUGUAUGCUAACUAUUAACAAUUAGAAAUUGCCUGUUUCAUAUAGGUCUUGCUAAGGAAUUUUACUUUGAUUGGCUCCUAAAAUCACAGGAUGUUCAUCCUUGCAAUUUCUAUUCCCUCAGUUUGAGGAGAUUUGUUAUGUAAUGACAGGAAAUCUUUCUUACAUCCUAUUUCCGUAAGAAAAAAAGAAAAUUGCCCAUAAGCAUAGCUCUCCUCCUAGGUGCAUUGCACAGAGGAAUAUUUAUUCUGCUGUGUACUUCAAUUACCUGGGCAUGCAAAUAUAAAUGUAGAGUCACUUAAGAAUUAAACUACUCUACAUAAUAAAAGGCGAGAGAAAAGAUUCAAGAGAGCAACGUGUGCUUUUCAAAGGAUAGUGUAUCCUUUGUCCUGCACAAUAUAAAUGCAUUCAAAACUCCAAAAAAAGUUCAGUAAAUCUAUUAAAAAUGUUUUCUGUGAAUAGUUUUUGACUCAGAGCAAAAAGGAGGCAAUUAAAAAAUUAAUUUGAGACUCAGCAUGAAACAGGAAAAAGAUACCACUUUAAAAAUUCACCACCCAAGAAGAGGAGACUAGAAGAAUGAAAGUGCUGAAGAAAUUAGCCAAAAUUUUGAGGGGAGGUAUGAGCUUUUAUAAGCUAUGAAAUUGCUUGGGGAGUUUAAGAAGACUUUACAGAGUCUUUUAUAUAGAGACUUGCAGACUUUACAGAGAGGCCAUCCCUUAUUUUCUAAGUUCUGUUUGUUAUCGAACUGAACUGGGGUCCAUUUGUCCAGAAUGGUAAGACCAGAUAUCCACAAGAAAGUUUGCAGCAGGAAGCCGCUCUUUGGCAGGGUGCUAAGCAAGAAAGAUCAGGAGCUAAAGCUUAAGUCCUAACCUCUUCAAGUGGCUUACAGGGAAGGAUUUUAAAAGGCAGGUGUAAAUUCCAGGAAAACAGAAGUUACAGGGAAAAUUGUAAAUCAAUACAUGUAGGUUGCAGAUUGGUUUUGGCUUAAGAGGGUGAAAUAUCUUGGGCAGGAGCUUAAAUGUCAUAGAUUCAAAAAUUUUCUGAUUUGUAAUUAAGAAAGAGAAGUUUUAAAAAGGAAUUAGGGUCAGCAAAAAAUGUUAGCUCUGGCUCAUGGGUGCAACUUUCUAGGCCCCUUUGGAAGGAAUUUAGAGCAAUGAAUGUGGUAAAAGGUCAGUUCUGAGUUCCCCCUUGCUGGGGUCUAUAUGCCCACAGAUCCAAUUGGUUGGGGUCUAGGUUUCUGAAGAACACUCAGAGACAUAUGUUAAGAUAUUAUGUUUAGUUUCUCUAGGGAACCAAAUGUGAUUCUAGCCAUCUUGACUAUUUUUAGGCUGCUAUUGCCUUCUUGCUUAUCAAGUUGCUUAUUUUCUUUUCAGGGCUAGUGAGGUGCCUGGAAUUUCAUUUGAAGGAAACCCACUUCAAUACAAUUUUUAAAUAGGAUACUUGUUCUUGACCUUCAUACAGUCAUUCCUUGUUUAGCCACAAAUGAACCUUAAACAUGGGGGUGAAUAAACAUGUCCAUCCUUUGAAUGUCUUCAUUUCAUAUUUUGCCAUAUUUAUACCAUGGUAUUUUCAUAAUGAGGUUACUGUCUCUGUCAGAUUAAUAUAAAUUGUUUAAUUAAUUUUCCUCACAUCAUUAAAAGCAAUGAGCUCCCUUAAUGUCACUGAGAUUGAAAACAUAAAUAUAACAUUAGAAAAUUAAAACCCUCAUUAAUCUCACUGUAGUAAUACCUUAAAUAAAAUAGAACAAAUAAUGAACAUUGACUUAGUGUAAAAUUUUCAAAAAUAAAUUUCAGACAACUGGGGUUCAGAUUCAGAAUUUAGCAACAGUAGCUAAAGAAGAUAUGAAUGACUUGUUAACUCAAUACAGGUUUCAUUGUCUUUACAGAAUUAAGUUAAUUUUACACUUUUAAGGAAUCACAAAGAAUAAGAAAGUAUAAAAAAUGUGGAGACAAAUAUGUUUGCAUGUUUAAUACUAAGGGACCAGUAAUAUAAAGCAAUCAUCCAUUUUAAGUGGAUCAAAAAGAUUGAUAUAUCAUCACUGUACCAGAGAAACUGUAUUUCAGCAAAGAAACUAGGAAACAAAAGCAUAUAGACAAAAAUGGAAAAUGUGAACUGGAUCAUAGCUUGUUGAGAUUCACUCAGGGUGACUGGCAAAAUAUUAGGGAAAUAUUAGGGGAACUUAGAAGAUUAUAGUCUCAAACCUUUUGGAAGGCCAAAUGGUUUUAAUGAAAUGGGCUGAAGGUAGUAAAUUCAUUUUAGCAUAGGGAAAAGAUAGGGACAAUAAAGGCUUCCUCAGUUAAAUCUGUUUACCCCAAAGGAAUACUUUGUCUCUACUCUAAUUUGUUUGUUCAUGUAAACUUUUUGCUGGAUGGUCCUCUCAGGGGGAGUUCAAAGGUGAAUUACACAUUAAUGGCAUUUACUCUGGGCCCUGAAACUUAAAGCUUUUAUCUUUCAUAAAACCACUCUUUUAACCAUGUUAAUUAUCCACAAGCAUGUUAACCUAAAACUUCUGUUAUUAAAUCUAUCCUAAAUAAAUGUAAGGAGAUACAGGGAGUUAUGGACCAUUAGCUGCAAUCGCCCUCUGAAAGCAGUUAACAACCAACCCUAGCCCACCCAAAUCACUGUACUAGAUGUGAGAGUGAAUUCAUUCAUCCCCCUGUUAAGUCAGGGUCUGCAGAACAAACCUCCACAGGUUGUGAUCAAUGUCUCAGGUGGUGGCUCCGACAUGAUACCCAUCACAGCAAGCACCCCAAAGUGGAGUGACUGCAAUAGCUACAUCUUGGUUUCCUGCUCUAUCCAAUUAGCUUGGUUAAUGG